GACGAACGCUGGCGGCGUGCUUAACACAUGCAAGUCGAACGCUGAAGACCUGGCUUUUGUUGGGUUGGAUGAGUGGCGAACGGGUGAGUAACACGUGAGUAACCUGCCCUCUUCUUUGGGAUAACGCCCGGAAACGGGUGCUAAUACUGGAUAUUCACUGGCCUUCGCAUGGGGUUGGUGGAAAGGUUUGUUCUGGUGGGGGAUGGGCGCGCGGCCUAUCAGCUUGUUGGUGGGGUGAUGGCCUACCAAGGCUUUGACGGGUAGCCGGCCUGAGAGGGUGACCGGUCACAUUGGGACUGAGAUACGGCCCAGACUCCUACGGGAGGCAGCAGUGGGGAAUAUUGCACAAUGGGCGAAAGCCUGAUGCAGCGACGCCGCGUGAGGGAUGGAGGCCUUCGGGUUGUAAACCUCUUUCGCUCAUGGUCAAGCCGCAACUGUGGGUUGUGGUGAGGGUAGUGGGUAAAGAAGCGCCGGCUAACUACGUG
rnacentral:rRNA from 1 species